rnacentral:lncRNA from 1 species
GAUUAUUGAGCCAUUCAAUAAUUAUUAUUUCCAAGUUAUAACUGACUUAGCAAAGUCAUGUUAUUUAUUAAUCGAAAAACAGAAGCAGUUAUAUUUUAUUAGUGCUACUAGAAGUCGAGAAAUUAUUCCGACUGCAACGCAGAUUAAAUCUACGGAUUUAAUCUAGAUUCAUAUUACAGUAUUAGCAUCACCAAGGCAUGAGGAUAUACUUCAUUUAUUCAUCAAUAUCAUUCUCAUACUUUACAAACUCUUACAAUCAAUUUUCGUUCAUACCUUCCAAUUACACCACAAUAAUUUGGCAUUUGCAUAAAGAAGAAAAGAGAAAGAAGAAUAGGAAAAGGAAAAAGGAAAAGUGUUGCCACCAUCCUUUGCUCCCCUCCUUUCCUUCCACCAUCUACCACUUUAUACCAUGCCCUUUAUUCCCACACAUCUAUCAAUUCAUAAGUUUUCUCUCGCAACCAAGAAUUUCAUCAGCUGGAUGAUCCGAACUUCCAUCGUCCAUCAAAUUAAUAACAGCAACAACGGGAUCUUUUCAUAAAAGGUUUCAUUCUUCAAUUCAAUUAAUAUGUCAAUUUCCUUAAAGCCAAAACAUUCAGGUUUUCAACAGCUCAACUUAAGGUUCCAUCUUGUAACCUUCUCGCCGAUUUCAUUUUUACAGUAUGUUAUAAACAACCAAUUGUUUCAGUUUCAACUCACCACAUGAACAAGAACAUUCAAGGUAAUUCCUAUCUCAAUUGCUCUCUUGAUGUCAUAUGUUUCACACCAUCAAAGCAUGCUUCAUGUAUUGGAAGUUCAUAAAUACAGGAUUAAGUAUAUUACAGAGGGACAUAGCAAACCACAUAUGCGUGCAUGAUUAUAGCAUUCCACAGAAAUAGUUUGACUCAUACAUUGAAAUAGAUUGCCACGGUACUUAGAACCGAAAGCCAUAAAGAACAAACAUUUAACCCUUACAUAGUCAGGGACAUAAAGGCCACAAUCCUUGAUAACCAUAUGGAAGAAAAGGAGAACAAAGACUUAGCUUAUGGAAGAAAAGAGAGGCCGACUUCCUUGUUCAGUCCAGCUGCAACGACGGAGAUAACGGCGACAAGCUCCUGCUACCUCGUCGUAAAACGGGAACAACAGCAACGGCGUGGCUCGAACUCGACAACUGCAACGGAGUAUAAACGGCAACACUGACUCGCGGACUCGCCGGCCUCCACUGGUGGCGACGACGGGGCCUCUGUUGACGUCGCGGCGAGAAGGGAAGGCUGACUGCCUUGACCGGUACCGAGCCGAGCAGCGGCUGCUCUGCAGCGGCGACUCGCCAGAAAUUCAGGGCGUCGGAGCUGGAGAAUCACUGAGGCCGACUGGAACCAUGAAGGAGAGGAGGCCGACGGGCUCCAGGCCGGAGCAACGCCGCUCCCAGACGGCGACCGGCUGCCCAAUUUCGAAAGGGUAGCAGCAGCGAUAAUUCCUUGAGAAUCAGGGCUCGAUGUUGGGGAAUCGAUGAAUUGAGAUGACAGGAUGAGAGAGCGCCAGCUGAAUCGCCGGAUUUCGGGCGAAGGAGUAGCAGCGACAGCGGCGAGGACUUCUUGAGUUAGGGCUCGACUGGUUUGAGGAGAAGGGGACGAGCGGCUCUUCCAGAGAGAGAAAGGCGAGAUUGGAUUUUGAGGAAGAGAGAAGACGACGCCGGUCGGAGCAGGUGGUGGCCGAACGGCAUCUCGGUGAGAGGAGAAGAGGCCGAUCGGCCGGCCUUGAGGAAGAGAGGGAGCGUCGGUUCUUGAGAGAGAGAAAAGAGAGAGAAAAGCGUGAAUUGU